rnacentral:sRNA from 1 species
UGAACCUGCGGAGGGAUCAUUACACAAUAAAAUACGAAGGCCGUUCGCGGCUGGACUAUUUAUUACCCUUGUCUUUUGCGCACUUGUUGUUUCCUGGGCGGGUUCGCUCGCCACCAGGACCACAAUAUAAACCUUUUUUAUGCAGUUGCAAUCAGCGUCAGUAUAACAAAUGUAAAUCAUUUACAACUUUCAACAACGGAUCUCUUGGUUCUGGCAUCGAUGAAGAACGCAGCGAAAUGCGAUACGUAGUGUGAAUUGCAGAAUUCAGUGAAUCAUCGAAUCUUUGAACGCACAUUGCGCCCUUUGGUAUUCCAAAGGGCAUGCCUGUUCGAGCGUCAUUUGUACCCUCAAGCUUUGCUUGGUGUUGGGCGUUUUUGUCUUUGGCCCGCCAAAGACUCGCCUUAAAAUGAUUGGCAGCCGGCCUACUGGUUUCGCAGCGCAGCACAUUUUUGCGCUUGCAAUCAGCAAAAGAGGACGGCAAUCCAUCAAGACUCCUUCUCACGUUUGACCUCGGAUCAGGUAG